rnacentral:rRNA from 1 species
GACGAACGCUGGCGGCGUGCCUAAUACAUGCAAGUUGAGCGCUGAAGGUUGGUACUUGUACCAACUGGAUGAGCAGCGAACGGGUGAGUAACGCGUGGGGAAUCUGCCUUUGAGCGGGGGACAACAUUUGGAAACGAAUGCUAAUACCGCAUAAAAACUUUAAACACAAGUUUUAAGUUUGAAAGAUGCAAUUGCAUCACUCAAAGAUGAUCCCGCGUUGUAUUAGCUAGUUGGUGAGGUAAAGGCUCACCAAGGCGAUGAUACAUAGCCGACCUGAGAGGGUGAUCGGCCACAUUGGGACUGAGACACGGCCCAAACUCCUACGGGAGGCAGCAGUAGGGAAUCUUCGGCAAUGGACGAAAGUCUGACCGAGCAACGCCGCGUGAGUGAAGAAGGGUUUCGGAUCGUAAAACUCUGUAGGUAGAGAAGAACGUUGGUGAGAGUGGAAAGCUCAUCAAGUGACGGUAACUACCCAGAAAGGGACGGCUAACUACGUG